CUGAAACACAGGUUCCCGUACGAUCACCGAGGUUAAGCAGUAUUCAGCCUGGUCAGUACUUAGAUGCCUAACCGCUUGGAAACACCAGGUGCUGUAAG